rnacentral:rRNA from 1 species
GGUUAAGCGACUAAGCGUACACGGUGGAUGCCCUGGCAGUCAGAGGCGAUGAAGGACGUGCUAAUCUGCGAUAAGCGUCGGUAAGGUGAUAUGAACCGUUAUAACCGGCGAUUUCCGAAUGGGGAAACCCAGUGUGAUUCGUCACACUAUCAUUAACUGAAUCCAUAGGUUAAUGAGGCGAACCGGGGGAACUGAAACAUCUAAGUACCCCGAGGAAAAGAAAUCAACCGAGAUUCCCCCAGUAGCGGCGAGCGAACGGGGAGCAGCCCAGAGCCUGAAUCAGUGUGUGUGUUAGUGGAAGCGUCUGGAAAGGCGUGCGAUACAGGGUGACAGCCCCGUACACAAAAAUGCACAUGCUGUGAGCUCGAUGAGUAGGGCGGGACACGUGGUAUCCUGUCUGAAUAUGGGGGGACCAUCCUCCAAGGCUAAAUACUCCUGACUGACCGAUAGUGAACCAGUACCGUGAGGGAAAGGCGAAAAGAACCCCGGCGAGGGGAGUGAAAAAGAACCUGAAACCGUGUACGUACAAGCAGUGGGAGCACGCUUAGGCGUGUGACUGCGUACCUUUUGUAUAAUGGGUCAGCGACUUAUAUUCUGUAGCAAGGUUAACCGAAUAGGGGAGCCGAAGGGAAACCGAGUCUUAACUGGGCGUUAAGUUGCAGGGUAUAGACCCGAAACCCGGUGAUCUAGCCAUGGGCAGGUUGAAGGUUGGGUAACACUAACUGGAGGACCGAACCGACUAAUGUUGAAAAAUUAGCGGAUGACUUGUGGCUGGGGGUGAAAGGCCAAUCAAACCGGGAGAUAGCUGGUUCUCCCCGAAAGCUAUUUAGGUAGCGCCUCGUGAAUUCAUCUCCGGGGGUAGAGCACUGUUUCGGCAAGGGGGUCAUCCCGACUUACCAACCCGAUGCAAACUGCGAAUACCGGAGAAUGUUAUCACGGGAGACACACGGCGGGUGCUAACGUCCGUCGUGAAGAGGGAAACAACCCAGACCGCCAGCUAAGGUCCCAAAGUCAUGGUUAAGUGGGAAACGAUGUGGGAAGGCCCAGACAGCCAGGAUGUUGGCUUAGAAGCAGCCAUCAUUUAAAGAAAGCGUAAUAGCUCACUGGUCGAGUCGGCCUGCGCGGAAGAUGUAACGGGGCUAAACCAUGCACCGAAGCUGCGGCAGCGACGCUUAUGCGUUGUUGGGUAGGGGAGCGUUCUGUAAGCCUGCGAAGGUGUGCUGUGAGGCAUGCUGGAGGUAUCAGAAGUGCGAAUGCUGACAUAAGUAACGAUAAAGCGGGUGAAAAGCCCGCUCGCCGGAAGACCAAGGGUUCCUGUCCAACGUUAAUCGGGGCAGGGUGAGUCGACCCCUAAGGCGAGGCCGAAAGGCGUAGUCGAUGGGAAACAGGUUAAUAUUCCUGUACUUGGUGUUACUGCGAAGGGGGGACGGAGAAGGCUAUGUUGGCCGGGCGACGGUUGUCCCGGUUUAAGCGUGUAGGCUGGUUUUCCAGGCAAAUCCGGAAAAUCAAGGCUGAGGCGUGAUGACGAGGCACUACGGUGCUGAAGCAACAAAUGCCCUGCUUCCAGGAAAAGCCUCUAAGCAUCAGGUAACAUCAAAUCGUACCCCAAACCGACACAGGUGGUCAGGUAGAGAAUACCAAGGCGCUUGAGAGAACUCGGGUGAAGGAACUAGGCAAAAUGGUGCCGUAACUUCGGGAGAAGGCACGCUGAUAUGUAGGUGAAGUCCCUCGCGGAUGGAGCUGAAAUCAGUCGAAGAUACCAGCUGGCUGCAACUGUUUAUUAAAAACACAGCACUGUGCAAACACGAAAGUGGACGUAUACGGUGUGACGCCUGCCCGGUGCCGGAAGGUUAAUUGAUGGGGUUAGCGCAAGCGAAGCUCUUGAUCGAAGCCCCGGUAAACGGCGGCCGUAACUAUAACGGUCCUAAGGUAGCGAAAUUCCUUGUCGGGUAAGUUCCGACCUGCACGAAUGGCGUAAUGAUGGCCAGGCUGUCUCCACCCGAGACUCAGUGAAAUUGAACUCGCUGUGAAGAUGCAGUGUACCCGCGGCAAGACGGAAAGACCCCGUGAACCUUUACUAUAGCUUGACACUGAACAUUGAGCCUUGAUGUGUAGGAUAGGUGGGAGGCUUUGAAGUGUGGACGCCAGUCUGCAUGGAGCCGACCUUGAAAUACCACCCUUUAAUGUUUGAUGUUCUAACGUUGACCCGUAAUCCGGGUUGCGGACAGUGUCUGGUGGGUAGUUUGACUGGGGCGGUCUCCUCCUAAAGAGUAACGGAGGAGCACGAAGGUUGGCUAAUCCUGGUCGGACAUCAGGAGGUUAGUGCAAUGGCAUAAGCCAGCUUGACUGCGAGCGUGACGGCGCGAGCAGGUGCGAAAGCAGGUCAUAGUGAUCCGGUGGUUCUGAAUGGAAGGGCCAUCGCUCAACGGAUAAAAGGUACUCCGGGGAUAACAGGCUGAUACCGCCCAAGAGUUCAUAUCGACGGCGGUGUUUGGCACCUCGAUGUCGGCUCAUCACAUCCUGGGGCUGAAGUAGGUCCCAAGGGUAUGGCUGUUCGCCAUUUAAAGUGGUACGCGAGCUGGGUUUAGAACGUCGUGAGACAGUUCGGUCCCUAUCUGCCGUGGGCGCUGGAGAAUUGAGGGGGGCUGCUCCUAGUACGAGAGGACCGGAGUGGACGCAUCACUGGUGUUCGGGUUGUCAUGCCAAUGGCACUGCCCGGUAGCUAAAUGCGGAAGAGAUAAGUGCUGAAAGCAUCUAAGCACGAAACUUGCCCCGAGAUGAGUUCUCCCUGACUCCUUGAGAGUCCUGAAGGAACGUUGAAGACGACGACGUUGAUAGGCCGGGUGUGUAAGCGCAGCGAUGCGUUGAGCUAACCGGUACUAAUGAACCGUGAGGCUUAACCUU